rnacentral:rRNA from 1 species
GACGAACGCUGGCGGCGUGCUUAACACAUGCAAGUCGAACGGAAAGGCCCUGCUUUUGUGGGGUGCUCGAGUGGCGAACGAGUGAGUAACACGUGAGUAACCUGCCCUUGACUUUGGGAUAACUUCAGGAAACUGGGGCUAAUACCGGAUAGGAGCUCCUGCUGCAUGGUGGGGGUUGGAAAGUUUCGGCGGUUGGGGAUGGACUCGCGGCUUAUCAGCUUGUUGGUGGGGUAGUGGCUUACCAAGGCUUUGACGGGUAGCCGGCCUGAGAGGGUGACCGGCCACAUUGGGACUGAGAUACGGCCCAGACACCUACGGGAGGCAGCAGUGGGGAAUAUUGCACAACGGGCGGAAGCCUGAUGCAGCAACGCCGCGUGCGGGAUGACGGCCUUCGGGUUGUAAACCGCUUUCGCCUGUGACGAAGCGUGAGUGACGGUAAUGGGUAAAGAAGCACCGGCUAACUACGUG